GAUGAAGAACGCAGCGAAAUGCGAUAAGUAAUGUGAAUUGCAGAAUUCAGUGAAUCAUCGAAUCUUUGAACGCACAUUGCGCCCGCCAGUAUUCUGGCGGGCAUGCCUGUUCGAGCGUCAUUUCAACCAUCAAGCCCCAGGCUUGUGUUGGGGACCUGCGGCUGCCGCAGGCCCUGAAAACCAGUGGCGGGCUCGCUGUCACACCGGGCGUAGUAGAUUUUAUCUCGCUCAGGGCGUGCUGCGGGUUCCGUCCGUUAAAAAGCCUUUUUUACCCAAGGUUGACCUCGGAUCAGGUAGGAAUACCCGCUGAACUUAAGCAUAUCAAUAAGCGGAGGA
rnacentral:misc_RNA from 1 species